AAUAAAUAAAAUAAACUUGUAAACAAAAUACAAUACUCAAUUUAAUAAACAACACCCAGUGCGCUCUGAUGACAUCACCACCUCAUGUGACUCCCUCCCUGCACGCCACCAUCCGGAAACACCCUACUUGAAAUCAGAACCGGGAAAACGUUUAAUGCUGAAAACAGGUUAGAAUGAAUGUUUAACUGAAGCAGGAACACCGCGUGUGCACCCACGACGAACCGCAUCAGGUUAAACUGCAACAAAAAACGCAGACAUUGCUGUCCUUCCUUUGUCAGCUUCUGACGGCUCUGAUAUCAUCAUCUCUGCUGGAGGGCAUCCGUGGAAACUCUGAGCUGCAGGAUUUCCCUGGAGGAUGGAGCUGAGCAGGGAGCUCCAGCACACCUGCUCUGCACCAAGCCUCAUCAAUGGCAGGAUAAGG